AAAUGAAUUGACGGGGACCCGCACAAGCAGAGGAGCAUGCGGUUUAAUUCGUCAGUACGCGAAAAACCUUACCAAGACUUGACAUUGGAUGCAUAGCAUGGAAACAUGUGAAAUUAUAGCAAUAUAACAUCUAAACAGAUGGUGCAUGGUCGUCGUCAGCUCGUGUCGUGAGAUGUUGGGUUAAGUCCCGCAACGAGCGCAACCCUUGCCUUUAGUUGCCAUCAUUAAGUUGGGCACUCUAGAGGGACUGCCGUGGAUAACACGGAGGAAGGUGGGGAUGAUGUCAGAUCAUCAUGCCUCUUACGUCUUGGGCUACACGCGUGCUACAAUGGCCACUACAAAGAGAUGCUAACCCGCGAGGGGGCGCCAACCUCAAAAAAGUGGCCUCAGUUCGGAUUGUAGUCUGCAACCCGACUACAUGAAGUAGGAUUUGCUAGUAAUCGCGGAUCAUCACGCCGCGGUGAAUGCGUUCUCGGGUCUUGUACACACCGCCCGU
rnacentral:rRNA from 1 species